UGGCCGUGCAGCGCCUCUGAGACGCCGUGGCGGAAGAAGGCCCCAGGCCUGAGAGGAGAGUCGGAUGCGACCGUUCCCGCGCUGUGGAGGCAGCGAUCCUGCGCCUCUGCCCUCCUCGGAGCCCUCUGGAGAGGUUAGAGGGAACCAUUUCACUUCAAGCUGGACUUCAACAUAACCAAGAGGCACAAACAAAUUUUAUCUUGUCGUCUCUACUCAUCCUCCUUAAAGUUUACACACCAGUCCACAGAGCAGUACUCUAAAUUGCUGAAAGGAAUACAAAUACUUUCAGGUAUGGCACAGAAAAAGUGCCUUCUGAUCACAUUCUUUUUUUUUUUUCUUUUUCUUCCCCCCACCCCUUGGUGCUAGUACAACCCAUCCAAAGCCAGGUUUCAAAAAUUUAGUUUAUUUCUGUUUAUUAAGGGCAUCAUGAAAGUGGAGUUGAAUGAGUAUGGGGUAUUGGAGUGCAAUGAGUAUGAUGAUUUUAAAUGAAAAAAGUAAAGCACACCCAAAAGUACACAAGAUUCAAAUUUAUGCAAAACUCCAAUCAUUAUACCAUACUCCUAUACUGAAGUUUCUCCUUAAAAUUGUUUGAAUGGCAUCUGACUUUUCUAUUCAUGGCUCUGGAAACAGAUUCAAGAGAAUCCCACUCUUCACAAUGGAGGUGUUUUGUCUUGUGCUAUUCAUGCAAAUGCAGUGACAGCAGCUGAAACACCUGUUCUCCUCUGAGUCACCUCCUUCCUGGAAUGGACACAAUUGCCAUAUGCAUGCUCACAGUGCACGUUUCUGACUGCCUGUAAUGUCUUGAGAUUUUCCCCCCCCCUCUUUAUUUAUGCUUCUGUCUACAACAUUGUGAUAGUCUAGCAUUCUGGCUUCGGAUUUUUUGAGGAAAAGAUUGCUGCCACCUUUUACUUUGAUCAGUCACAACUGAGCUGUGCACCUUGAAGAUCUGCAGUCAAACUACAGAAAAAUUCAUUCAAUAAACCUUUUGAAGAAGCCAGCAGAGCAUGAAGCCUAUGACUGUCUCCCAGAUGGAGAAGCAACUAAUUUUGUCCAAUAACCCCAUGCGAUUACUCAGUUGGCUUCAGUGUAAGGAGUUAUGUCAGGUGCACAAUUACAAACUAUUACUGUUGAAGUAAUUAGAUUAGACACUGCCUUUAUAAUAUCUGCAGCUGCCUUCCUGCUAAUUACUCUAAAUAAUCAGCCGCUGCACACUAGAGGGACUAGGUCAAUGCUUUGUUCUCUGCUCUUUAAUAACUUUAAUUCCAAAAUCAUGGAUUAUUUUCUUAUGAGUUACACUCCACAGGAACUUGCUAUGAGUAUUUCUUCAGCUGGAUUUAGUCAAUAAUUUCACUCUUAGCAUUAGAUACUAACCCUGACAGGCAAUGAAAUAAACUAAUAGCUAGAGAAACCAGCAGGAUACAAAAAGGUUAGACUCUGCUUUCACAGCAGUAAUUAAUCUACUGAUUUUACAACAAAGAUUAUUUCUGAUUUAUGCAAGUAUAACGAGAAGAGUAAGGCACUAUGGCCUUUCUAAAUAGUGUAGUACUCUUGCGGUGAUACAAAGUGCUGCACAGAAUGUUUCAGACCUGCCUACCAUCUUGCAUUGCCAAUGAAUGUGCAUCAUCCAAGAGUUACAUUUAAACUUCCUUGAUUCUGAGGCCAGACAAGAAUUAGAUAAGAUGUACAUUGAAAAGGCUCAGUUUUUAGCUGAAAGGAGAGGUAGAAAAGGGAGUUAAGAUAUGUCAAGGACCUGAGCCAGGAUCAUGGAAAAAGCAACAACUUGGUAAGGAAAACGCAUUGUAAAGUCACGCUUCUGACGGUUUUAUUCCACUCUGCACUUAAUCAUUAUAUAAAACAGUAAGAAUGAUUCAGAAGAGAGCAGGAGGGGUUGAACAUCCUUUGUGAGAAAGUGAUUAUGACCAAAAACAUGCUUAGAAAAAAAAAGGAACGUAUAUUUCUGCAUUUCAUCAGCAUCAGGAACAAGCACCAAGAAAAAUAAAAAAGAAACAGGAGAAGCAGAAUUAAAAAGAAAAGCCUGAUUACCUGCGUGUAUUGAAGGAGAUGCAGAAUUUAAUUAGCUUUCUGGAUAAGGUGAAAGUUGAG